rnacentral:rRNA from 1 species
UGCCAGACUCCUACGGGAGGCAGCAGUCGGGAAUAUUGCGCAAUGGAGGAAACUCUGACGCAGUGACGCCGCGUAUAGGAAGAAGGUUUUCGGAUUGUAAACUAUUGUCGUGAGGGAAGAAAUUGACAGUACCUCAGGAGGAAGCUCCGGCUAACUAUGUGCCAGCAGCCGCGGUAAUACAUAGGGAGCAAGCGUUAUCCGGAUUUAUUGGGUGUAAAGGGUGCGUAGACGGGAAAUUAAGUUAGUUGUGAAAUCCCUCGGCUUAACUGAGGAACUGCAACUAAAACUAUCUUUCUUGAGUGCUGGAGAGGAAAGUGGAAUUCCUAGUGUAGCGGUGAAAUGCGUAGAUAUUAGGAGGAACACCAGUGGCGAAGGCGACUUUCUGGACAGUAACUGACGUUGAGGCACGAAAGUGUGGGGAGCAAACAGGAUUAGAUACCCCAGUAGA